rnacentral:rRNA from 1 species
AAUGAACGCUGGCGGCGUGCCUAACACAUGCAAGUCGCACGAGAAAGACUGUUUUCGGACGGUCGAGUAAAGUGGCGCACGGGUGAGUAGCGCGUAGGUAACCUACCUCUGUAUUGGGGAUAACCCCGCGAAAGCGGGGCUAAUACCGGAUGAGACCCUGGGAUGGUGGUCUUGGGGUGAAAGCGGGCCUCUCGAAGAAGCUCGCGUACGGGGAUGGGCCUGCGUCCUAUCAGCUAGUUGGUGGGGUAAUGGCCUACCAAGGCGACGACGGAUAGCCGGCCUGAGAGGGCGAUCGGCCACAGGGGCACUGAGAUACGGGCCCCACUCCUACGGGAGGCAGCAGUUAGGAAUCUUCCACAAUGGGCGAAAGCCUGAUGGAGCGACACCGCGUGAAGGAUGA